rnacentral:rRNA from 1 species
GACGAACGCUGGCGGCGUGCUUAACACAUGCAAGUCGAACGGAAAGGCCCUGCUUUUGUGGGGUGCUCGAGUGGCGAACGGGUGAGUAACACGUGAGUAACCUGCCCUUGACUUUGGGAUAACUUCAGGAAACUGGGGCUAAUACCGGAUAGGAGCUCCUGCUGCAUGGGGGGGGUUGGAACGUUUCGGCGGUUGGGGAUGGACUCGCGGCUUAUCAGCUUGUUGGUGGGGUAGUGGCUUACCAAGGCUUUGACGGGUAGCCGGCCUGGGAGGGUGGACAGGGACAAUGGGCCUGAGAGACGGAGCAGACGGGUAUGGGAGGCAGUGGUGGGGAAUAUUGCACAAUGGGCGGAAGCCUGAUGCAGCAGCGCCGCGUGCGGGAUGACGGCUUUGGUGUGAUAAACCGCUGUCGGCUGAGACGAAGCGGGAGUGACGGUAAUGGGUAAAGAAGCACCGGCUAACUACGUG